UUCGAGAAAGAUCUUGAAACUUUGUAUGUUGAAGCAAAUACAUUUUCCCUUGCCUCUCACAUUUUCUGGGCACUGUGGGGUCUAAUUCAGGCAAAGAUGUCUCCAAUUGAAUUUGAUUAUCUUGGUUACUUUUUCCUUCGAUACCAAGAGUACAUAAGGAAGAAAGAGAAGUGUUUUAUGCUGGCACGGACCUACCUUUCAGGAUGCAAAAAUGAAUAGAUAUAUAGAUUAUGCUUACCCAAUGACUCUUGGGUUUUCAUUCGUCAUGUUUGUAGCAUGAGUCCCCUGAUUCUUGUAGUGUAAUGUUUGUGUAAAAUAUAAUUUUUAGGCACUUGUCAAAAUAAUGGCUUAUUAAUAUAUCAUUUUUAGUUUGAUCUAGGAGGCUCAUCGACGUUGUAAUCCCCUAGAACAUAGGUUAUAUAAUUUGAAAUAUUCUUUUUCUUGGAUUUUAGUCUUUAUAAGUUUUGGUCUGUAAUCAAAAGUCUUUGUUAUCGUUUUUUUCUUUUUCUAGUUUAUUCCUCCACUAAUGUAGUGGGAGAAGGUUGAGAUUUAAA